rnacentral:tRNA from 1 species
AAUCCGUCGAUUUCAAAAAUCGUGAGGGUUCAAGUC